AAACAACGCUGUCCUUUUACGCUAAAUGACUCAAGCGUGACCCCACAGCCCACGUGGCUGACCAGGACGUCCCUAGAUUUCUUUUUCCCCUUUUUGUUUUGUGAGUGAUCGCUGACAAGAAGGCAACAAAACUGAGGUCCAUGCUACCUGUAUCCUAUCCUGAAUCUUUACUCCAGUGAAGACUGUUUUCACACUACCAUAAAUGGACAACGCAGGAAUGAAAAAAGGAAUUGUGAUAAAAGAUGACUGGCCUGGAUACAGCCUGGACCUGUUCACCUACCCCGAACACUACCACGAAGACAUAGAGAGUGUUUAUAUUCCACAUGGGGUAAUCAUGAACAGGGUGGAGCGUCUGGCCCGCUAUGUCAUGGAUGAUUUUGAGGACAACAUAAUGGUGCUGUGCGUCUUGAAGGGAGGCUACAAGUUCUGUGCAGAUCUGGUGGAGUUCCUCAAGGUUCUCGGCCGCAACUCCAACAAGUACCUGGAGACCCGGGUGGAGUUCAUCCGUCUGAAGAGCUACCAAAAUGACCAAUCAACAGAGGAGCUGCACAUCAUAGGAAGCCGAGAUCUGUCUUUCCUGCGUGGAAAGAGUGUGCUCAUUGUUGAGGCCAUAGUUGACACAGGAAAGACCAUGAAGGCCCUUCUGCAGCAUGUGGAGACCUUCGAACCCAAGAUGAUCAAGGUCUCAGGUCUGUUGGUGAAGAGGGUCCCUAACAUGGCUGACAGUCUGACAGACUAUGUUGGAUUUGAAAUCCCCAACCACUUUGUUGUUGGUUAUGCCUUGGACUACAAUGAAUACUUCCGUGACCUGAAUCAUAUCUGUGUCAUCAGCAAGACUGGGAAGAUGAAGUACAAGGUUUAAGAAGUAAUGCACUGUUUUAUAUUAGCAGCAGUUUGUCUACCUUCUUCAGCAAUAAGAAAGAAAUGCUGGCCACCAGAAGAGAACUGUUGGUGACAGAUGGAGAGAGCUUAUGGACGUUGGCAUCCCCGUGCCCGGAUGACGCCCACUCUGACUCAUGGAAAACAGUGAGCGCAGCAGGCAGGCCGAACAGUGGCUCCUCACCACACUGUAUCUAUUUGUUCCCAACUUUAAUCAGGCCUUACUGGAAAUCAGAACUAAGUACAUGAGAGUUUGGCAACGCUGACAUAACAAUUUCUACAUUGAAAUGCAAUCUCACAAACAGGUAAACUAUACAUAUUAUGUUGAAAAUGACACUGACUGACCCAUCACAACUCACUUCUGCUCCAGCAAGCACAAACUGAAGAGAAACAAAACUUUUUGAAGGCCAAAUUUAUUUAAAACCCAUCUGUUCUUUCAUCAAAAAAAUCCUAAAUUACAAUACCUAAUAAUAAAUUCUCUUUAUUUCACUGAAUCAUAUGCAAACUGUUGUGUUUUUACAAGGUUUGUAAUGCUGCAAUUAAACUCUGAUCCCUUGAUCUCUGGGGGAGAAUGUUCACUGUAAAGGCUAGACAUCAUAAUAACUGCAGUCUCAGUGCUCUGAACUACAAACACACACACACACACACACACACACACACAGCGGUAUUUUGUAUGUUCUGUUGCCAUCGUUGGGGUGAUUAAGAGAGUCAAUUGUGCAUUUCGACAGACAGACCAACACGCUUCACCUCGCACAACGUGCACUCGGGGAGUGUUAGCAUGUGGCUAUGCACUCUUGAAUCUUAAUCACCUGAAACUCCAAACAGCCAACACAUCACGUAACAGGAACGCAUGCACACACACUGGUUAUUCAGUGUGAAGAUGUUGGAGGGUUUGUGACGAUGGGAUACAACAUUCCAACUUAAGAUAGUGCAAUAAUUAGCGUCUCUUAACCCAAGACCCUUCAAUGCUCCACACAGACCACAAAGGUCUGCAGUGACUAAUGGCUAAAUAAAACACUAUGUCAUAAGUCAUAUCAUAAAUUUUGUGUUAUUCAAAUAUUAAAUGUGUUUUCCUCACUUUUUACAGACAUGUUUCUAAGCCAAAGAUAAUGGUCCAGCUCCAGCUACAAGGCCUCUCCAAGUUAAAUGACCUGAUAAAUGAGUUGCUAUUUGGAUAAUAUGAGUUCUGGGAGGUUUGGAGAGCUCAGAUUUCAUGUUGUGCUUUCAAAAUGCUCUCAGGUUUUACGCUUGUAGUCCUAAACAACAUCUUCACUAAUAUGCCUACAUUUAGAGGAACGCUAGAUUCAGUGAGGUUUUAUUACUUGUCUUUGACUCGUAAGGUGCAGAGGAGUGAGAUAAGCAAGAGGGAAGAAACUCAACAAAUCACACAGCUUUUUUUGGUUGGGUGCUACCUGUGCAGCCUCAGCCACAAAGACACCCAUUGUACCUCCGACUACAACCCUGUGUCCUUAUUAUUAAACAUCAGCACUUGGCGGCAGUGGUUAACUUAUCCCAGCACUGAUGCCCAGGCAGAGGCCAUUAUCUUUCACCUUGAUGCAGUGUUUGGUGAAAGCGAGAUGGGACAAAAAGCCUUGCAGGUUUCACAUGCUGCGGCUUUGUAGUGCUCUGUCAGGGGAACUGAGGAUAGGGCCGACUGUGGAAAGUAGGCUGCAGGUAAACUGUGCUCAGCACAAAAGGAACAAAACGGGAAUUGUACAUUUGAAUGGCCACACAUUCAUGCAUUUGACAUAUGAAGCCUGUGGUUAGAGACAGAGCAUUGGUAUUUAAUUUCACAUCACCAGCAUAACAGAUAGGCCAUGUUUAGGCCUACUCCCAAAACCUCAUUUUAUUGUUCUGCCUCUAAAAGAAUAGUUUGACCUUUUAGGAAAUACGCUAAUUUGCGUUUUUGCCAAGAGUUAGCUGAGAAGAUCAAUUCCAUUCUUAUAUCUGUUAAAUAUAAAGCUACCGCUAGGUGUUGGCUUAACAUAAAGACAGGAGGCUGGGAGAAACAUCUAGCCUGGCACAAUUACUUUGUGGACUCCUACACUUUGAUUUUUGUACAGAUUAAACAAAGAACAUCAUUUAGUGAGCUAGAAGUGCUCUGAGGCAGAUCUUUGUUAUAUUUGGACAUAGCCAGGUUAGCUAUUUCUUGUUUCACAAGUCUUUAUGUUAGGCUUUGCUCACCAUCUUCUGGCUGUAGCUUUAUAUUUAAAAUAAUAGUUGGACAUUUUGGCAAAUUCACUUUCUGGCUGAGAGUUGUUGUUAGAUGAGAAAAUUGAUAUGGUAAAUCGAAUGUAGGUCUAGCUGAAGCCAACAGCUUAGCUUAGCUUCACAUAAAGAGUGAAACAAGAGGAAGCUAGCUAGCUUGGCCAGGGGUAGUAACUGCCUGGAGUCCUACACUUUGGUUUUAGAAGUACUGAAAGGCAGAUUUGUUUUUACUAUGGACAGAUCCAAGCUAGCUUUUCCCCCCUGCUUCGAGUCUUUAUGCUAGGCUAAGCUAACAGGUUUCCUGGCUGCUAGCUUCAUAUAAAACAGACAAACAUGAGGCCAAUAUCGAUCUUCUCUAACUCUCAGUAAGAAAGCAAACUUUUUAUUUCCCAUCUUGAGCAGCGUCAAAGCUACAUGAUUUUGAAUCUUUUGUGUGCUUCUGUUGCAUUUCUAAUAUAAAUGAAGCAGCCUCAAUUUAAAAUCUAGAACAUUUAUCUGACCAUAAUUUAGCUAGCAGACCGCUAAACCAUCCCAGUUAGGAACUUAAUAAAUACUGCUUCACUGACGCAUCUUGGUACACAAAUAGAAAGAACAUCCUCUCCAGUGUUCAUUGUGUUCCAAUUAGGGAAUGGCUGACCAGAGGGCUUGAUAGAUUGACUGCUUCUGGGUUUCAUCCAGUCAUCAAACUCAGUGCCAGAUCCACUUAUACAACCUGGAGUAGGGAGUGAUCCUCUUAAACUCUCAACUCAACUACAGUUUAAAGAAUCCUUUAUGAAUCAAAUAUAUAUUGUUUUGCAUGAAGAAGUGUUUAAAACCGGUUUCACAAGCAUGCUGUGCUGCAGAGUCGUUGCCACCUGUCAUAGUCCUAACACUGCUGGGCUUUGAAUUUGGACUUCAUGUGAUGCCCCAAUCCAGCCAAACAUUUUGCUGCCACGAGAGCUCAUAAUCUCUCUUCUGCUGAAUUUUUUGAGUCACUCUGGCUCUGCAACUACACAUUUGAUAAAAGACUUAGCAGUGAAAGUUCAUACAAAUGCUUUAAAAAAUUUAAAUAUUAUUAAUUAUUAGAAAAAUCUGGAUAGAAAAAAGUGUAAUAAAGUUACAGUGCACAUAAUGCAGAGCAAUACAAUAAAGACUGUAAUGAUAUAAGGCAACACAAAAGCAUCUUAAACGAUACAGUAGACAUGCAUUCAUUAAUUCGGGCAGACUAUAACUCCUCAGUGAGCUUUGCUCACCACUCAUUGAUCUGAAAUCCUCUCUCUUCACUUUGCCAUUCAUAAAAACAACACUGCACUGCUAUAACAGUGUCCUGCACAGAGGAGAGUGUACUCAGUAGCUCAAGUGGGCCAUGUGAUUUUUUGGGAAAGUACCACAGUGUCUGUUGGUUGAUUUUACUGGUGAACCAGUAAUUUUUUUAAAUAGUUUUGUAGUCUUGUGAAUUUUUAUAAACGUAUGUAAUCCAGAAAGAUUCAUAUUGUGAGUUGUUUUGUGGGAAAAUACCCACCAUAUGUUAUACAAUUGCUUAUAGCUGGGAAAACUUAAGUUGUGAUCUUGAGUUUAGUUUCUGAUGCACAAUCACGCUUUAUGUCAAAUCAAUAAGAUCUUCUUGCUGCAUUAAUAACGUGGUAUGUGUUUAAUAAACAAAUUGCAUUAAAUGAAUAUGAACCUCAUGUCUACCAUCACAUUAUGCAGAGUCCCACUUACAUCAGUUUAAGUUCUCCAUUGUCUGGAUGAGGGUGCACAGGCUCUUUAUACAAUAGCUCCUCUCUGAAACCAGGGAAACCUCGCCACAGUGUGGGUCAAAAGAGUCCUAUUGUCCUAUCUUCUAUUGUGCUGCUGGAGUAGCCUGCAAACAGAACACUGUCAGCCUUUGUCUUUGUCCGGAUCAGCUGUGCAGCCCUUUUUUUUUCACGCUCUGUGAAGUCCCAUGUGGCUGCCAUGCCCUACAUGUCGCAAUAAUAAAGUUAAGGACACUGCUGUUAGAGUUGAUAAUGGAUAGGCAAAUAUGUUUCUCUAGUUGAACGUUAGGAAAUUGGAGAGUUCAGCAUGUGUGUUGGGCCUCAAUGCUUUUUCCUUAUUCUUCCCUCACAAGGAUGUCGCUGUGAUUCCAUUUGCUCACUUUAAAGGUCUGAAAGGCUUAAUGACAGUGUGGAAAUAAAGUGUUUAUCAGCUCA